rnacentral:rRNA from 1 species
GAAAGAUGAAAAGAACUUUGAAAAGAGAGUUAAACAGUACGUGAAAUUGUUGAAAGGGAAACGAUUGAAGUCAGUCGUACCAGCGGGAAAUCAACCUUUCGAGUGGGGUUUUGGAGUUUUGAAGAGUGUCAAAACCUUUGGGAUUUCAAAAUGUUCGCUCUUUUGGUGUACUUUCUCGCAGGUAGGUUAACAUCGAUUUUGAUCAUCAUAAAAGGAUUGGAGGAAUGUAGCUUCGAUCUCGUAUUGAAGUGUUAUA